rnacentral:rRNA from 1 species
AGGGUACACGGGGGAUGCCUUGGUGUCAAGAGCCGAUGAAGGACGUGGUUGACUGCGAAAAGCUUCGGUAAGCCGUCAGCAGGCGUUACCAGCCGAAGAUGUCCGAAUGGGGAAACCCGCCUGAGCUAAUCCUCAGGCAUUCCUGUCUGAAUAUAUAGGACAGGAAAGGGAACCGGAUGAACUGAAACAUCUAAGUAAUCCGAGGAAAAGAGAAUAUUCUGUUAGUAGUGGCGAGCGAACGCGGAAAAGCCCAAACCGAUAUGCUCAGGUGUAUCGGGGUUGUAGGAUCCGACUAAAGAGUUACAAAAUUGUUUGUUAGCAGAAGUGUGCUGGAAAGGCAAACCAAAGAAGGUGACAGUCCUGUAAGCGAAAACGAACAAACUCUGGUUGGGAAUCCUGAGUACCACGGGGCACGCUAAUCCUGUGGGAAACUGGGGGGUCCACCUCCCAAGGCUAAAUACUCUUGAUGACCGAUAGUGAACAAGUACCGUGAGGGAAAGGUGAAAAGAACCGCGGUGAGCGGAGUGAAAUAGAAUCUGAAACCGUGUACCUACAAUCAGUCGGAGCUCGAUGGCAGUUUGAAAGCUGUACAGGGUGACGGCGUGCCUUUUGGAGAAUGAGCCAGCGAGUUACUUUCUGUAGCAAGGUUAAGCUAGAAACAGGCGGAGCCGUAGCGAAAGCGAGUCUGAAUAGGGCGAGAAGUUGCAGGGAGUAGACACGAAACUUGGUGAGCUAACCAUGGUCAGGUUGAAGCGAGAGUAAUGUCUCGUGGAGGACCGAACGGGUAUAUGUUGCAAAAUGUUCCGAUGAACUGUGGUUAGGGGUGAAAUGCCAAACGAACCAAGAGAUAGCUUGUUCUCCCCGAAAUAGCUUUAGGGCUAGCCUCAUCUGUUUAGUAACGGAGGUAGAGCACUGGAUUGGCUAGGGGGCCUAACGCUUACCAAACCAAACCAAACUCCGAAUGCCGUUAUUUUAGAAGAUGGGAGUCGGACAGUGAGAGAUGAGUUUCAUUGUCGAGAGGGAAACAGCCCAGACCGUCAGCUAAGGUCCCCAAAUUGUGACUAAGUGGGAAAGGAUGUGAGAUUACUGAGACAGCCAGGAGGUUGGCUUAGAAGCAGCCACCCUUUAAAGAGUGCGUAAUAGCUCACUGGUCAAGUGGUCUUGCGCCGAAAAUGUAACGGGGCUAAAGUCACAUACCGAAGCUACGGAUUUAUAAAUUCAACGGUUCGCUGUUGAAAAUAUAAGUGGUAGGGGAGCGUUCUGCGAGAGAAAAGAAAACAGGGCUGACCGUGAGGACAGCUUUCGGCUCGCAGAAGUGCGAAUGCUGGCAUGAGUAGCGUAAAAACAUGUGAGAAUCAUGUUCGCCGUAAGUCUAAGGUUUCCGACGGGAGGUUGAUCCGCGUCGGGUUAGUCGGGCCUAAGCCGAGGCCGAGAGGCGUAGGCGAUGGAUAACAGGUUAAUAUUCCUGUACCACCAGGAUGGAGCGAAGGGGGGACGCAGGAGGGUAGGCCAGCCGGAGAAUGGUAGUUCCGGUGCUGAGUUCGUAGAGCGAAGAUCUCUGUAGGCAAAUCCGCAGAGGGAGUUUAAGGGACUGUAAGCGGUGCCCUAUGGGCCGGAAGUGGUUGAGCCCAAACUGACAAGAAAAGCCUCUAAGUGAUGAAGUUCAGGUGACCGUACCGCAAACCGACACAGGUAGACGGGUAGAGAAUACCAAGGCGAUCGGGAGAACCCUCGUUAAGGAACUAGGCAAAAUAGAUCCGUAACUUCGGGAGAAGGAUCGCCCUUGCCGGUGAAAUGCUAAACGCAUGGAGCUAGUGAGGGCCGCAGAGAAAUGGCCCUGCCGACUGUUUAACAAAAACACAGGUCUCUGCAAACUCGUAAGAGGAUGUAUAGGGGCUGACGCCUGCCCAGUGCCGGAAGGUUAAGGGGAAGGGUGCAAGCUCUGAACUGAAGCCCCGGUGAACGGCGGCCGUAACUAUAACGGUCCUAAGGUAGCGAAAUUCCUUGUCGGGUAAGUUCCGACCCGCACGAAAGGCGUAACGAGUGGGGCACUGUCUCAACGAGGGACCCGGUGAAAUUGAACUAUGCGUAAAGAUGCGUAUUACCCACAGAAGGACAAAAAGACCCCGUGGAGCUUUACUGCAACUUGGCAUUGAGUUAGGGCUUGGUUUGUGUAGGAUAGCUGGGAGGCAAAGAAAUUGGUGCGCCAGUAUCGAUGGAGCCGUUGUUGAAAUACCAGCCUGAUCAAGUUUUGGCCCUAACGGUUGACCGUAAUCCGGCAACCGGACAGUGCCAGGUGGGCAGUUUGACUGGGGCGGUCGCCUCCGAAAGAGUAACGGAGGCGUUCAAAGGUUCCCUCAGGCUGAAUGGAAACCAGCCAAAGAGUGCAAAGGCAUAAGGGAGCUUGACUGCAAGACCAACAAGUCGAGCAGAGACGAAAGUCGGACUUAGUGAUCCCACGGUACCGAGUGGAAGGGCCGUGGCUUACCGGAUAAAAGCUACCCCGGGGAUAACAGGCUAGUCUCCCCCAAGAGUUCACAUCGACGGGGAGGCUCGGCACCUCGAUGUCGGCUCGUCGCAUCCUGGGGCUGGAGUAGGUCCCAAGGGUUGGGCUGUUCGCCCAUUAAAGCG